AUUUCCGGUAAGGCAGCGUAAUUAGAUGCUGUGGCUGUCCUCGGAACUAGUUGUUGAGGACUGAAGCGGUGCCUAGAGUAUUCCAGUGGAAAAGUCUCCCUUGCGUCCGGCUCUUUCUGAGGCUCCAGGCCUCGCAAACCCUGUCGCUCCUCUCCGGAGAACACUGAGAGAGCGCCCUAAGGAGAGGCCAGAGCCCUGUCUUCGAUCCCGUGCAGUCUUCCGAAGAGCGGGAAGCCGUGGCUUCCCACCUUGUUGUGACUUCAGGCGUCGGUUUCCCCAAAUUGGUGGUGUUCCCAUGAAAUAAAGAGGAACCGCCAACACUAGGCGCGUGAUGCUGCGCGAGAAACGAAAAAAUGAGUCGGUCUUUCAGGAGUUUCGGCCCAGUCUUUACAGGCACUGCAGCAGACAACUAGAGAAUCCAGAGCCGUCUGUUACGCCCACCACCCUUGACUGAACAGCAUACAGGUUUCAACUUGGAGACUUACCGCUUAGCUAGCAAGACUCUGGAACCUUCCUGGAAGGGACCAUACCCUGUGAUCCUGACAACACCAAGGACCAUCAAGGUGGCAGGGACUGCAGCUUGGAACUACCACAUCCAUCUAAAGGCAGACACAGCCACCAGAAGAAAGGUGACAGAAUGAAGGGUAACGCAAUAUCCCCAGUGCCCUCUAAAGGUGUGGCUCAUGUGCACCUUGAACUCAGACUGGCGCUAAUUUUGGGAAUCUUUAUAGGUCACUCCCAGCCAGUUAAAAAUGUUGAAGCCUGGGAUUGGGAUCUGUCUCGAACCUCAGAUAGGAAAAUAAUAGGUGUUUUCAGGAGUGUCAACUCCCAACCUGUGUUUAAAUUUGACCUGUGUGAUUUCUUUGAUAACAAUGAACUUAUAGCUGAAUGGGGAAUUUAUAGUCUAGUUCACCCGGGGUGUGGGACCAAAAUGCAGGAAAUAUCCUUUUGGUCAUCACCAUUUUAUGCAUGCCCAGCUGAUGGGCCUACACAUUGUCACAGGUGGGAAAAGGAUUAUCAUUGCUCCACCCCAGGCUGCGAGACUGAGUCUGACCACGGUGGCCAUAAAGACCCAUACAUCUCCAUUCAACGGGUAUAUCCUUCCCGGGAUUGCAAACCUGGGACCUGUAAUCCCUUUACUUUAAAGGUUGUGGCCUGGAAUGGAUUGAAUGCCAAAAAUUGGCUUACAGGCCGGACCUGGGGAUUUGUACUUAAAUUUAAGAAUUAUGGAAAUAGUCCUGGGGUAGAAUUCACUAUACAGAAAAAGGUUCCAUACUACCAAGCCAAUCCCAUAGGUCCUGAAAAGAGCUGGUUGCCUCAACCAGGGAUUAGGUUGUAUCCUUUCUCUCUCCUCACUCCUCAGGCCAUUUCACCUAUGGUAGUAAAUCUAUCCACAGUCAUGGUCAAGGGGCUACAGUAAUAGACAGCAGCUUCAACCCUAUUCCAGAACACACUUAAAGUUUCAUCCCCUAGUGAUUCCCGAGCUUAAGACUUAAAGUUAUUAUAUAAUUGGAUAAAUCAUACCCGCCCCCAGCCUUGGGAGAGAUUAUUGGUUUUGUCAAGGUCCCAGGCUUCUCUUUUAUGUAGAGAUAGAGGUCGAUCUGUUAUCCCAACUAGAAAAUGUAAAUAGUAAAACAAAGAAACUAGACUCACCCUGGGAGAUUUCCAAGGAAAAGGUUAAUCUCUUCUUCAGUUUGUAAUCAGCUAGCUUCCCGUUCUAGCAAAGCCUGAGUACUCAGCUAUACGUCACUGGUCUGAGCACAUCAGCAUGCACCUCCAGCGCCUAUUAGCAUUGCACUAGACAUGGUGGGCCUGAGCUUGCUAGAUAUGUAACAGCUAUGCACCUUGAAUUUUGGCCCCAGAAAGUUAAUCUCUCCCAAGGAAAUACCCUCUCCCAAGUUGGCAUGUAUGCUGGAGAGAAGGGUAGAAAACUUUUGCCUACAUAUAAAGGAAGUUCCCAUUGUGAGGUCCAGAUAAAAGAGAAUAGCAAUUCCAGCUAUAGAGUUAGCCCCUCCUCCUGAAAGCAAGAGUCACUGGUGUGGCUGCCUUGGGAUGUCAGCCCUGGUUAUGCAAGACCAGGAUUAAAAUGCUCAGUAACAAAGUAGACAAAGACAUGCAGCACCUAAAGGACUCCAUCAGGCAACUUGAAAAACAAGCAGUUUCCCUAGCAGAAAUGGUUUUACAGAACCAUUGAGGACUAGAUUUUAAUUGUGAAGGGAGGACAUAUGUUGUACUGCCUUAGGUGAAAAGUGCUUCUAUGUCAGUAGCUCAGGAGUUUAUGGGAAACAUGUCUCAGGAAAAGCUUGAAGGGCAAAGGAGUGAGCUGAGGCUUCACUACCAGUCUCUCUUUUCUUGGUCCUCAUGGGUUACCACCCCCAUCUUUAACACCCACACUGGGCCCAGUCUUUUACUAUUUAUUCCUUGUCAUCCCAGUCAGCCUUGCAUUUUAAAUUGGUGACUGGUGUGCAUUAAAAGUAGAACCGACUCUGCUCUAGGAGCCCUGCAGGCUUGGUACCAAUCUGUCCUCCAACACAGAUCAAUGACUGGAUUCCAUUCUGUACCCAGUACUGAUUUUAGGCUUUGUCCUCUGACUUUAAUUCUUGAAAGAUAAACUCCUGACGUCCUGUCUCCCUCCCCAAAACGGUGUAACUGUGAAAUGAUUAGCUGCUGGCACAGGCUUUUGUAACUUGCUUAGAGCUGUAUGCAGGGAAGUUUCUCAUAUAGUUGCAAAUCUACCGAAAAAUUAAGUAAUUGUGGUUUUUGGUUUAAAAAUCCUUCUCUCAACCCCUCCUGAGUGGUAUGCUUUUGAUUUGACUUUAAGACUGCCACCCAGCUAGCAGUUUUAAUAAAUUUAUCUAAUUGUAACUGGA